UGGGGAAUAUUGCACAAUGGGCGCAAGCCUGAUGCAGCCAUGCCGCGUGUAUGAAGAAGGCCUUCGGGUUGUAAAGUACUUUCAGCGGGGAGGAAGGGAGUAAAGUUAAUACCUUUGCUCAUUGACGUGACCCGCAGAAGAAGCACCGGCUAACUCCGUGCCAGCAGCCGCGGUAAUACGGAGGGUGCAAGCGUUAAUCGGAAUUACUGGGCGUAAAGCGCACGCAGGCGGUUUGUUAAGUCAGAUGUGAAAUCCCCGGGCUCAACCUGGGAACUGCAUCUGAUACUGGCAAGCUGGAGUCUCGUAGAGGGGGGUAGAAUUCCAGGUGUAGCGGUGAAAUGCGUAGAGAUCUGGAGGAAUACCGGUGGCGAAGGCGGCCCCCUGGACGAAGACUGACGCUCAGGUGCGAAAGCGUGGGGAGCAAACGGG
rnacentral:rRNA from 1 species